UCUGAGAUGCCAGACUGGGUACCCCAUUUAGUGAACAGGGCUCUGACCCAACACUCUCUCUUACGGGAUGACAGUGGUCCACUGCAAACAUGAGGUCGAAUCAGGGUUCAGUCUCUAUCAACUUUCGAUGCCACUUUCUGUACCUACCAUGGUGACCACGGGUAACGGGGAAUCAGGGUUCAAUUCCAGAGAGGGAGCCUGAGAAACGGCUAACACAUCCAAGGAAGGCAGCAGGCGCGCAAAUCACCCACUCCCAACGCAGGGAGGUAGUGACGA